GAGGGAGUGACAAGAAAUAACAAUACAAGGUAUUUAAAAUGCUUUGUAAUUGGAAUGAUAGAAAUUUAAACACUUUUUAAAGUAUCAAUUGGAGGGCAAGUCUGGUGCCAGCAGCCGCGGUAAUUCCAGCUCCAAUAGCGUAUAUUAAAAUUGUUGCAGUUAAAAAGCUCGUAGUUGAAUUUCUGCUAAAAAUAACCGGUCGGCUUUUAAUAAAAGUGGUAUCCUGGUGUGUUUUUAGCAAUAGCGUCCUUUGAAAUGUUUUUUACUUUAUUGUAAUAAACCAUAUUCAGGAUUUUUACUUUGAGAAAAUUAGAGUGUUUUUAGCAGGCUAACGCUUUGAAUACUGCAGCAUGGAAUAAUAAAAUAAGAUUUUGGUUCUACAUUGUUGGUUUUAAGAGCUAAAUUAAUGAUUGAUAGGGACAGUUGGGGGCAUUUGUAUUUAAGUGUCAGAGGUGAAAUUCUUAGAUUUGUUAAAGACAAACUACUGCGAAAGCAUUUGUCAAAGAUGUUUUCAUUAAUCAAGAACGAAAGUUAGGGGGAUCGAAGA
rnacentral:rRNA from 1 species